rnacentral:rRNA from 1 species
UACGUAGGGUGCAGGCGUUAAUCGGAAUUACUGGGCGUAAAGCGUGCGCAGGCGGUUUGCUAAGACAGGUGUGAAAUCCCCGGGCUUAACCUGGGAACUGCGCUUGUAACUAGCAGGCUAGAGUGUGGCAGAGGGGGGUGGAAUUCCAGGUGUAGCAGUGAAAUGCGUAGAUAUCUGGAGGAACACCGAUGGCGAAGGCAGCCCCCUGGGUUAACACUGACGCUCAGGCACGAAAGCGUGGGGAGCAAACAGG